AUUGAACGCUGGCGGCAGGCCUAACACAUGCAAGUCGAGCGGAUGAAGGGAGCUUGCUCCUGGAUUCAGCGGCGGACGGGUGAGUAAUGCCUAGGAAUCUGCCUGGUAGUGGGGGAUAACGUCCGGAAACGGGCGCUAAUACCGCAUACGUCCUGAGGGAGAAAGUGGGGGAUCUUCGGACCUUACGCUAUCAGAUGAGCCUAGGUCGGAUUAGCUAGUUGGUGGGGUAAAGGCCUACCAAGGCGACGAUCCGUAACUGGUCUGAGAGGAUGAUCAGUCACACUGGAACUGAGACACGGUCCAGACUCCUACGGGAGGCAGCAGUGGGGAAUAUUGGACAAUGGGCGCAAGCCUGAUCCAGCCAUGCCGCGUGUGUGAAGAAGGUCUUCGGAUUGUAAAGCACUUUAGGUGGGAAAGAAGGGCAGUAAGUUAAUACCUUGCUGUUUUGACGUUACCAACAGAAUAAGCACCGGCUAACUUCGUG
rnacentral:rRNA from 1 species